CAACAACCUGUUGCCAUGUAUUGCGAUUUGUAUCAGUCACAAGCACACAACCCCUUCUAGUAUUAAUGAUGUUUAAAACGUUCUACACGUACGGCGGACCGCAUCCGUCGCAAGCACGCGCAUAUAACCCCCAAAUGCACCAUGAUGAGAAGCACAGCCACGCGUCAAAAAACUUUAAAAACAUCGUUAUCCAAUAUCAUUAAAAACCACACCGAAAUUUACACAGGUAGCACGUCACCGUGUUAGUGUCACCCACUGUACACAAGGCGUGUCGUAUAUGUAGUAUAGGUAUUUGAUGAGGCGGAAGCAUAUCCCGCUUCCAGCGAACGGAAAUAAGAAUCAUCCGUUCCAGCAUUUAUUCAAAGGGGGCACAGAGGAUUCACAUUGUUUAGAGAGAGUUUUUCUUAGUCACCAUUCCAUACUUGGGCAGUAUUGGCCUACGAUUUGGGCGACGUUUCAGGCUGGUCUAUUCUCCGUCCACUUUUCCCCGGCUAUUCUGUCCCAGCAUAGGCUCUUGAAAUAAACAAUGUUUACCGAGUAAAA
rnacentral:misc_RNA from 1 species